rnacentral:rRNA from 1 species
CCUACGGGGGGCAGCAGUGAGGAAUAUUGGUCAAUGGACGAGAGUCUGAACCAGCCAAGUAGCGUGAAGGAUGACUGCCCUAUGGGUUGUAAACUUCUUUUAUAUGGGAAUAAAAUGUUCCACGUGUGGGAUUUUGUAUGUACCAUAUGAAUAAGGAUCGGCUAACUCCGUUCCAGCAGCCGCGGUAAUACGGAGGAUCCGAGCGUUAUCCGGAUUUAUUGGGUUUAAAGGGAGCGUAGGUGGAUUGUUAAGUCAGUUGUGAAAGUUUGCGGCUCAACCGUAAAAUUGCAGUUGAAACUGGCAGUCUUGAGUACAGUAGAGGUGGGCGGAAUUCGUGGUGUAGCGGUGAAAUGCUUAGAUAUCACGAAGAACUCCGAUUGCGAAGGCAGUUCACUGGACUGCAACUGACACUGAGGCUCGAAAGUGUGGGUAUCAAACAGGAUUAGAUACCCGUGUAGUC